UACGGGGGGUGCAAGCGUUGUUCGGAUUUAUUUGGCGUAAAGCGCGUGUAGGCGGUUUUUUAAGUCUGAUGUGAAAGCCCUGGGCUCAACCUGGGAAGUGCAUUGGAUACUGGAAGACUUGAAUACGGGAGAGGGCAGUGGAAUUCCUGGUGUAGGAGUGAAAUCCGUAGAUAUCAGGAGGAACACCGGUGGCGAAGGCGGCUGCCUGGACCGAUAUUGACGCUGAGACGCGAAAGCUAGGGUAGCAAACGGG
rnacentral:rRNA from 1 species